GAUGAACGCUGGCGGCGUGCCUAAUACAUGCAAGUCGAGCGAACGGACGAGAAGCUUGCUUUUCUGAUGUUAGCGGCGGACGGGUGAGUAACACGUGGAUAACCUACCUAUAAGACUGGGAUAACUUCGGGAAACCGGAGCUAAUACCGGAUAAUAUUUUGAACCGCAUGGUUCAAAAGUGAAAGACGGUCUUGCUGUCACUUAUAGAUGGAUCCGCGCUGCAUUAGCUAGUUGGUAAGGUAACGGCUUACCAAGGCAACGAUGCAUAGCCGACCUGAGAGGGUGAUCGGCCACACUGGAACUGAGACACGGUCCAGACUCCUACGGGAGGCGGCAGUAGGGAAUCUUCCGCAAUGGGCGAAAGCCUGACGGAGCAACGCCGCGUGAGUGAUGAAGGUCUUCGGAUCGUAAAACUCUGUUAUUAGGGAAAAACAUAUGUGUAAGUAACUGUGCACAUCUUGACGGUACCUAAUCAGAAAGCCACGGCUAACUACGUG
rnacentral:rRNA from 1 species